UCUCGUCCUACAUCACUCGACCUCCCAUCAUGAACUUUUCCGAAUUUGGCCUCACCUACACGUUUGUCUCUUCGGCCAUUCCAUUCUCUUUUCUUUCAUUUUGGGUCUCUUGGUUGGUUUCGUCACAGAGAGCAGCUCAGUGAGUGAGAAAAAGAGAUAAGAGAGGCGACAGCGAUUUCAACUAUGUUGUUGGUGUGUUCCUUUUUGAAGUUGAGUUUGGUAAUUUUUCUUUGUUUGAUUGGUGAUGUGGUUUUGAAAAUUCAAUAUGGGCAAAGGAGAAGAUUGGCAAGAAAGUUCCAAACAAAGGGAAUGGGCUUGAUUUGGAGAAAUACUCAUGGAUCCAGAGUUUGCAAGAGGUUAAUAUAAGGAUUCCAGUGCCUGCUGGAACUAAAUCAAGGGAUAUUGUAUAAUAUUUAUGAGGCAAAGAACCGUCUGAAGUUUGGACUGAAGAGUCAGCCUCUUAUAAUUGAUGUAAGUCUGCUGGUUUAUUAUUCAUAUCAUUACUAUGCCAUAUAACACAAACAACUAGAUGUAAUAUGAAAGCAUAGAGUUAACUUCAUGGUAAAAUUUUAAGAGGCAGAAUGGAAGAUUUAGUCUGCCAUAUAACAAAUCUGCAUUGUCGAUGCUGUAAUUUGUCUGUUUUGGUCUGUUAUUGAGAAUUUUCAUUUCCUCAGCUGAAUGCCGAUUUACUAAGGCCUGGGACAUCUGCAUUUGCAGAAUGGUGUAUCUUCAUAGGAUAUUGGAGUUGAAGUAAAUGUCAAAUUUUUUACUUGAAACUUUGCUCUUACAUGAUAAAAUCAAAUUCCGAAUAUAAGAACAAAAAGGUAAGCACACCGAUAUUGUGAUUUUGUUGAGAUGUACUCUACCGACAUCAGAUUCAAUAAAAACGUGAUGGGACUCUCUGGUUUGUCUGUUAAGAGUAGAUAUUGUUGGUAACAUAUAUAGGUCUCAGUUUUAUUAAUUGCUGCUGUUCCAACUUGGCUUAUUGUUUCUAUUUGCUGGUGUUUGUAAGAGGGGUGUUAUUUUGAAAAUAGGUUCCUUAUUUUGAAAACAGGCUUUCUUAUUCUUUCAAGGGCAAAACCUUGGUGAUAUUUUCAUUCAAUUUCUGGUCUGAACCAAAACUUAGCAACUAGCUUUCAUUGUCUAACAAUGGCAUUUAGUUCUAACAACAAAACUAUGAACUGGGUUUGUUUGCAUUUGCUUCUUCUACCGAUAUUCUCGGCAAAUGCAGUUCACUGUGGCACACUGGUCAAGUCUCUUUCAUGAUUCGAUGGUGAACUUCCUUUCAAGCUCUCCACUAGAAGGUAUACGACUGUUAACGGACCAGAGAUGUUUUACUACUUUAUUGAGUCAAAGGGAGACCCCAAAGUAGACCCUUUGUUGCUUUGAUACAGUAGAGGCCAUGGUUAUUCUGCUUUCAGUGGCCUUAUUUAUUAAAAUGGUCCUUUGGAUUUCAACUUUACAGAGUAUGAUGGAGGUAUACCAAAAACUUUUACUACCCAUACUCAUGGACAAGGACUGUAAGCACAUUGUUUAUAGAUGCACCUGUUGCCACUGGUUUCUUCUAUGCAAUUGAUGCAAAAGAAUAUGCUACCUCCGAUACAAAAACAGCAUCACAGUGGUCUCUCAAGCUUCAAAUUAUUUGUUGGGGCUGAUUCGUAUGCCAUUGUCGUUAAACAUAUUAUAGUUGGUAAUGAUGCUGGAGCAUCACCACGCCUCAAUCUCAAGUCCUAUUAAAUCAUGUCAAUCUGAGAUUUCUAAUGAGCAAUUUGCAAAAGCAUUCAAUCCUUCACUCCACUUGAGAAAGAUGCAGUGACAUGAAGAAAGAUGCAGCAGACAUGAAGAAAUCAACUGGACACAUCAGAGGAGUUAAUGUAAAAUAGUUGGUUUUAAGUUCUAACUACAACCAUAGAACACUUUUGCUAAGCCUAAUUAUUUUUUUGCAAUAUGUAUGUAUCUGGUUAACAUACCAGAUUUUGGAAUCUAUAGAAGAUAUUUUGGUUACUUGUAUAAAGUUUCGAAUGUUCGUA